rnacentral:rRNA from 1 species
UGAGGAAUAUUGGGCAAUGCCCGCAAGGGUGACCCAGCAACGCCGCGUGGAGGAUGAAUGUCGUAAGAUUGUAAACUCCUGUUAGAGGGGAAGAAUAGUACCGGUUGGACCGGUAUAUGACUGUACCCUCAGAGAAAGCCCCGGCUAACUACGUGCCAGCAGCCGCGGUAAUACGUAGGGGGCAAGCGUUGUCCGGAUUUACUGGGUGUAAAGGGCGCGCAGGCGGGAUAAAAAGUCAGUGGUGAAAUCCUACAGCUUAACUGUAGAACUGCCUUUGAUACUUUUAUCCUUGAGUUCGGGAGAGAGAGACGGAAUUCCAGGUGUAGUGGUGAAAUACGUAGAUAUCUGGAGGAACACCAGUUGCGAAGGCGGUCUCUUGGUCCGACACUGACGCUGAGGCGCGAAAGCGUGGGGAGCAAACA